rnacentral:rRNA from 1 species
CCAAUAGCGUAUAUUAAAGUUGUUGCAGUUAAAAAGCUUGUAGUUGAAUUUCGGGAUCAAUUUAUUGGUCGUACCUUUGGUACGUACUGAUUUUAUUGGUUUCUCCCUUCUGACGAACUAUGAUGUCAUUAAUUUGGUGUCAUGGGGAAUCAGGACUGUUACUUUGAAAAAAUUAGAGUGUUUAAAGCAGGCUCACGCUUGAAUAUAUUAGCAUGGAAUAAUGAAAUAGGACGUUUAAUUCUAUUUUGUUGGUUUCUAGGAUUGACGUAAUGAUUAAUAGGGAUAGUUGGGGGCAUUAGUAUUCAAUUGUCAGAGGUGAAAUUCUUGGAUUUAUUGAAGACUAACUACUGCGAAAGCAUUUGCCAAGGAUGUUUUCAUUAAUCAAGAACGAAAGUUAGGGGAUCGAAGACGAUCAGAUACCGUCGUAGUCUUAACCAUAAACUAUGCCGACUAGGGAUCGGAUGAUGUUGAUUUUUUAAUGACUCAUUCGGCGCCUUACG